ACUCCUACCCCCAGAAAACAGUGGGCAGAGUGGAAACAGGAGGUCUGCUCUGAUUAGAGGACCCACAGAAGCAGGAACAUGCUCCAAUGUGCAAAUGAGGAAACCAAGGCCCAGAGAGCAGAGGCAACUGCCAGGAACCAUGGAGCAGCAGGGAGAUGAAUCAGG
rnacentral:lncRNA from 1 species